UACGUAGGGUGCAAGCGUUGUCCGGAAUUAUUGGGCGUAAAGAGCGCGUAGGCGGCCCUGUAAGUCCGCUGUGAAAGUCAAGGGCUCAACCCUUGGAUGCCGUGGAUACUGCAGGGCUAGAGUCCGGAAGAGGCGAGUGGAAUUCCGUGGUGUAGCGGUGAAAAUGCGCCAGAAGUAUCAGGAGGAACGACCGCAUGGCGGAAGGCCAGCUCGCUGGGACGGUCAGCUGAACGGC
rnacentral:rRNA from 1 species